rnacentral:rRNA from 1 species
AGCGAACGCUGGCGGCAGGCUUAACACAUGCAAGUCGAGCGGGCAUCCUUGUGGUGUCAGCGGCAGACGGGUGAGUAACGCGUGGGAACGUGCCCUUCGGUUCGGAAUAACUCAGGGAAACUUGAGCUAAUACCGGAUACGUGCGAGAGCAGAAAGGUUUAUCUGCCGAAGGAUCGGCCCGCGUCUGAUUAGCUAGUUGGUGAGGUUAUGGCUCACCAAGGCGACGAUCAGUAGCUGGUCUGAGAGGAUGAUCAGCCACACUGGGACUGAGACACGGCCCAGACUCCUACGGGAGGCAGCAGUGGGGAAUAUUGGACAGUGGGGGCAACCCUGAUCCAGCCAUGCCGCGUGAGUGAUGACGGCCUUAGGGUUGUAAAGCUCUUUUCUCCGGGACGAUAACGACGGUACCGGAGGAAUAAGCCCCGGCUAACUUCGU